GAUAAUCUGCAUGCAAUAUGGGUUUUGCAACGAAGAGAUCAUGGCAGCUUCUGGUUUUUGUUGCAUUCACGUUACUUUUUGCAUGGAGCAUCAAGGGUACGUAUAUAUGAUUUUAUAAUAAGAAAAUUUUAUCACCUGUUAUAUUUAUAAGUAACGUAUACGUAUAUGUAAGUAGGUGAUGAGAUGGAGUUGGUGGAUAAAGAAAAUGAUAUAGCAUCAAGAUCAGUGAAAUACCUAAUGAGAAUUAGAGCAGUGUCGAAAUUAGUAGAAGAAGAGAAAGAGCGCAGACCUUCAAGACCACCACCACCACCUCCAAGGCCACCGCGUCCGUCAAAGCCCUAAUUAACAUCUUUAUGGCUAAUUAUUCAUGGGCAAACACUCCUUAUAUAUAUGUACAUAUAUACAUGUCCGUAUAUCAGUUUCCCUAUCUUCCUCUACAAUAUUUAUAAGCUUGUAAUUGUAUUUCCAUUUUAUGUGUCCAAAUUAUUACCCC
rnacentral:lncRNA from 1 species